GACGAACGCUGGCGGCGUGCUUAACACAUGCAAGUCGAACGGAAAGGCCCUGCUUUUGUGGGAUGCUCGAGUGGCGAACGGGUGAGUAACACGUGAGUAACCUGCCCUUGACUUUGGGAUAACUUCAGGAAACUGGGGCUAAUACCGGAUAUGAGCUCCUGCUGCAUGGUGUUGGUUGGAAAGUUUCGGCGGUUGGGGAUGGACUCGCGGCUUAUCAGCUUGUUGGUGGGGUAGUGGCUUACCAAGGCUUUGACGGGUAGCCGGCCUGAGAGGGUGACCGGCCACAUUGGGACUGAGAUACGGCCCAGACGCAUACGGGAGGCAGAAGUGGGGAAUAUUGCACAAUGGGCGGAAGCCUGAUGCAGCAACGCCGCGUGCGGGAUGACGGCCUUCGGGUUGUAACCCGCUUUCGCCUGUGACGAAGCGUGAGUGACGGUAAUGGGUAAAGAAGCACCGGCUAACUACGUG
rnacentral:rRNA from 1 species